CAGUCGCCGCGGGAAUACGUAGGGUGCGAGCGUUGUCCGGAAUUAUUGGGCGUAAAGAGCUUGUAGGUGGUUUGUCGCGUCUGCUGUGAAAAUCCGAGGCUCAACCUCGGACUUGCAGUGGGUACGGGCAGACUAGAGUGUGGUAGGGGAGACUGGAAUUCCUGGUGUAGCUGUGGAAUGCGCAGAUAUCAGGAGGAACACCGAUGGCGAAGGCAGGUCUCUGGGCCAUUACUGACACUGAGAAGCGAAAGCAUGGGGAGCGAACAGGAUUAGAGACCCCAGUAGUCCCUGUCUCUUAUAC
rnacentral:rRNA from 1 species